GUCAACUCUGGUUAAAUUUACACAUGCAAGUAUCCGCAUCCCUGUGAGAAUGCCCUACCUAUAUCCCCACGAAAUAAAGGAGCAGGCAUUAGGCACAACACUAGUUAGCCCACGAUGCCUUGUUUAGCCACACCCCCACGGGAACCCAGCAGUGAUUAACAUUAAGCAAUAAGUGAAAACUUGACUUAGUUAAAACCAAGAGGGCCGGUAAAUCUCGUGCCAGCCACCGCGGUUAUACGGGAGACCCAAGUUGACAAACGUCGGCGUAAAACGUGGUUUAUUACAUUAUUACACUAAAGCUAAACCUCUUCAAGACUGUUGUACGUGUUCGAAAGAGAGAGAAUCUUCUACGAAAGUGGCUUUAAAUACUAUGAACCCACGAAAGCUAGGAAACAAACUGGGAUUAGAUACCCCACUAUGCCUAGCCCUAAACCAAGGUAACUAUACACUACAGUUACUUGCCCGGAAAUUACGAGCACCAGCUUAAAACCCAAAGGACUUGGCGGUGACUUAGACCCAUCUAGAGGAGCCUGUUCUGUAAUCGACACCCCCCGUUAAACCUAACCCUCUCUUGUCAUCCCCGCCUAUAUACCGCCGUCGUCAGCUUACCCUGUGAAGGACUAGUAGUGGGCAAAAUCGGCACAGCCCAAAACGCCAGGUCAAGGUGUAGCGUAUGAGAGGGGAAGAAAUGGGCUACAUUCACUGCACCAGUGAAAACGGAUAAUGCUUUGAAACAAGCACUUU
rnacentral:rRNA from 1 species